rnacentral:misc_RNA from 1 species
AAGUCGUAACAAGGUCUCCGUAGGUGAACCUGCGGAGGGAUCAUUAACACGUUUCCAAAAAACGUUUAUCAACCAAAUCAACGUGAACCAGUAACAACUCCCUUGUCAGUGUGACGAACGAACAAUCAUCAGGGUGGAGAUCGGCUUCGGCCGAACUAUGACUCGUUCUAGGGGCCCUUCGAGGCUCCAAUCCGCUGGCAAGUGUCUUUGCGACCACCUGGCAGUCUACAUUCGUGUAGCGUUCUGCCGAAUUUGUUUAACCCAAUAUUUUUAACCCCUUUCACAACAUACUAAUAACUGAACCAUGUUUCAAAUUGAGCAGCCCUGGCUUGCCAGCAACGGCUCAUUUGAAUACGAUAUACGUAAUGCUGAACAACUCUUAGCAAUGGAUAUCUUGGUUCUC